UUUGAAUUAGAAUUGUGAAUUUUAUCAAUGAUGUCAGAAUUCUGUUUGUUUAACAGUGAACACCAUGUUUGAAUCAUGGGUUCAAUGACACGCCUCACAUUAAUAAGCUUACUGUGAAAUAGUUGUAAUUCAAAUGCAUAGAGUAGAUGUAUAUUGUGGUGUGGUGUAGUGUGGAUCAAGAUCAUAGCAACAGGAAAUAUUCUUUUUUUAAUUAACUUUAAUUACCAUAUAAUUUUAGUAUAUUCAAUUAUUCAUCAUUUAUUGUAAUUUUGUUGCCAAAUUAAGCUGAAGUAAUCAACAAUGUUAAACCAGACAUAUAUACUUAUCAUUUGUUAUCUUACGGAUUUUUAAAGUAGAUCACUAUUCAUAUCUUCUAAAGGUAUGUGCACAAUAAGACUUAUAUAUACAUGAAUAUAUGAGUGUAUAAAUUAAUAUUAUCUAUGGAAUCCAAAUUCAAGAAUUACUAAUUUUCAUUAUUAGCUAGCAUUAUAUUCUCUGAAUGCUUAGUUUCCAUGUAGUCAAUUGGCGCUCAAUCCUCACCAUGAAUAGUACAAGGUAACUAUUUCUUCCCUCUGUUUCUCUGUUCUUAUGAUAAGGGCUAUUAUUUUGGUUUCCUGGCUGUGAAUCUGUUCUUGUGUUGCAGAUGUGAAAAUGAAAGUUUAAAUUUGGGCAUAUUAAAUUUAGGAAUAUGUUAGGAUCCAAUAUUUUUACCGAAAAAAAAAACUGAGAGAAUUGACUUGUUGUGAAUCUGUUCUUGUGAAUCUAUUCCUGUGUUGCAGAUUGUGUAUCAUCAAGUUUAAUUGUGCUUGCUCUGAAAAUAAUAUAUAUCACAACAUAACUUUCUCUCCAAAUUCAACUGUCUUCUUUUUUCUUUUUUUAUUUUUCCCCCAAUAACCGUUGGUGCUUGUAUUACUAUGCUAAAAAUAAGAAUAUCUUCAAGUUAAAUUUAAGUGUCAGCAUUAUUGUUUGCCAUGUAUGUAAGCUUGUAACUAUAGUUUCUAUGUGUAUAUAUAAAUCAUGUGAGAUAGAGAAAAUAGAAAGAAAGAAAUGGUGAAUAGUUUGCUCUGAAAUUAAAGAAUCUUGUUUAAUUAGUACUCAUCUAGCAUUUUGUAUUUUGUUGCUUUGGGUUUAGAGUCAGUUAACCUUCUCUAAUUUGAUUGCAUUUAUUUUGUUUUGUGUCAUGUGACAGAGCCUUGAGCAAAUUGGUAACAGAGCAGAACGCCUUAGGGUUAAAUCAGAUAUAUAUUUAUAUUCAAGUACUGAUAUUGAGUGGUCAGAGCAAAAGGUUAAGUUGAAUGAUGCUGAGCACAAGUUAAAAGAUCAAAGACGUCAACUAAAGGUUCAACAGAAAAGAAUUGGUUCUACUAAAAAGACAAUUCAUGCUUUGUAUAAAAGGUUGAAUCUCCCACUUUCUUCAACCUUGUCUGAUCCUGCAGAAGAUGAGCUUGGGACAGGCUCUAAUGAUGAUGAGGAUGAUAACAUAAGUGAUUGAUGUCAGGAGUAUAUAUUUUUUCUGAUUUAGAUUAAGGAAUUUUUAGGUGAAUUAGUUAGUACAUUUUAUUAUAUUCAUGAUAUUUGACCUUUUUAAAGGCUUUCUUUGUUUUAGUUUAAGUAUUUUUUUCU